rfam:Triticum urartu cultivar G1812 contig282430, whole genome shotgun sequence.
GUUUUACUUCCUCCGUCCAAAAUUACUUGUUGCAGCAACAGAUGUAUCUAGACGUAUUUUAGUUCUAAAUACAUCCAUUUUUAUCCAUUUUUACGACAAGUAAUUCCGGACGAAGGGAGUACUUU